CCAACACGCAGGCGGUGGGCAAUGUCAGGAGGAGAGGCGCCCCAUUACGCUCAUCCAUUCUCCUCUCUUGAAUGAACGCAUUGGUGCACAGCUGGAGCACCAUCCGGAGAUGUGGAUUGCUGCAGGGUUCCUCGUUGGUGGGCUAUGGGUGUCCUGGUAUGGUUAUGGGGGUCCUGUCAGGGACUGUGGGAGUCUGAGAACCUGGGGGGGCUAAGAGGGUAAGGGAGGUCUGAGGGAGAAAACAGGGGGGUUCAGUGGGAGCCCAGUUAGGGACGUGGGGUGCUGCUGGGUACUGUGGUGCUCUGUGUGUUCCCAGGUUGCUGGGGGAAGAUGUAGAGGAUGAAGGUCCUUGAGGAGCUAUGGUGGUUUGUGGGGGACAUUGGGGGAUAUGAAGAAACGGGCUGCAGGAGCAGAACGCUGUUCAGGAGAAAACAAGAUGUCUGCAGGAGGGACACAGGGGCAUGGGGUAGUAUGGAGACGUAGGGGGUAUGGGAGUAUGUGGGGAGCGGUUUAAGGUAAAAAGAGGAGAGGGAGUGUGGGGCAGUGUUGGAGUGGUUUCAUUUCAUCCUGAGAGGGGACUGGGGGUCCCUGUGGCCCAAAAGUGGGGCCCUGAGCCGUAACCCCACAUGAGCCAUAACCCAAGAUGACCUCAUCACCCUGUAUGUGCGUGACCCCAUGGCUGCACGUGACCCGCAGCCCUGGGGGAACCAUACCCCCACGUGACCCUGUGACUCCCUGACUCUGCCUGCCCCCAUCACGCUGUGACCCAAUGCCAUUUGGCCCCAUGACUCUGGGAUCCCUGCCCCCACCUCACCCAACCACAUAACCCCAUGUGACCAGUAACUCCAUGUCACCCCAUCUGACCCCAUCACUGUGACUCAGAACCCCACCUGACCCCAUAGCCCUACAUCACCCCCUAACUCUGUGACCCUGCAGGACCCCCAUGUGACCCACGACCCCACGUUCUCAACCCGUGUGUCCGUAGAACCAGCUGCAUGCAGGGAAAAGGCAUCUCCUCCUCGGGGUGGGGCUGCACCACAGCUGCCCCAAAGAAGGGAUGGGGCGGGCUGCAGCCGAACGCCUCAGUUUGGAGAGCUGGGAACUGGCCAAAGGGGCCAGCAGAAGGACAUGAAUGCUUCUGUAGGGAAAUACCUGUCCCAGGGUUUGGUGGGUUGGUAGCUUCUGUUUCUGUAAGUGGAUGAGAACAGAACAAACUGAUCCCACUGAGACCGGAGCUUGGCUGCUGCAGUGCUGCGUGGCCUUGAUGGAUACCCGAGCCAGGAAUGGAGCAGGGAUGGACUGAAGCAAAUCAACUCCUUCACGGGACAGUGGCAGAAGAAAUCCAAGUCAGCUGCAGAACAAACAACACAACCCCUUACAAAAGGGCGUCCCAGACUGGGGCCGUUGCAGCAGUAGGGGCAGUGCCUCUUGGAAGGCAUCUCGCGGUGGGGAAGAAACUGCUCC
ensembl:lncRNA